GACAGAGGUGCCAAGCGUUAGGCGGAAUCACUGGGCUUAAAGCGUGUGUAGGCGGAUUUGUAAGUACCUUGUGAAAUCCCACGGCUCAACCGUGGAACUGCUCGGUAUACUGCUUAUCUUGAGCCACUUAGGGGCUACCGGAACAAAUGGUGGAGCGGUGAAAUGCGUAGAUAUCAUUUGGAACGCCAAUGGUGAAAACAGGUAGCUGGGAGUGAUGCUGACGCUGAGACACGAAAGCCAGGGGAGCGAACGGG
rnacentral:rRNA from 1 species